rnacentral:rRNA from 1 species
UACGUAGGGCGCAAGCGUUGUCCGGAUUUAUUGGGCGUAAAGAGCUCGUAGGCGGUUUGUCGCGUCUUCCGUGAAAACUGGGGGCUUAACUUCCAGCUUGCGGUGGAUACGGGCUGACUGGAGUGCGGCAGGGGAGACUGGAAUUCCUGGUGUAGCGGUGAAAUGCGCAGAUAUCAGGAGGAAUACCGGUGGCGAAGGCGGCAUCCUGGACCGACAUUGACGCUGAGGAGCGAAAGCUAGGGGAGCAAACGGG